rnacentral:rRNA from 2 species
UACAUGCAAGUCGAGCGAAUGGAUUAAGAGCUUGCUCUUAUGAAGUUAGCGGCGGACGGGAGAGUAACACGUGGGUAACCUGCCCAUAAGACUGGGAUAACUCCGGGAAACCGGGGCUAAUACCGGAUAACAUUUUGAACUGCAUGGUUCGAAAUUGAAAGGCGGCUUCGGCUGUCACUUAUGGAUGGACCCGCGUCGCAUUAGCUAGUUGGUGAGGUAACGGCUCACCAAGGCAACGAUGCGUAGCCGACCUGAGAGGGUGAUCGGCCACACUGGGACUGAGACACGGCCCAGACUCCUACGGGAGGCAGCAGUAGGGAAUCUUCCGCAAUGGACGAAAGUCUGACGGAGCAACGCCGCGUGAGUGAUGAAGGCUUUCGGGUCGUAAAACUCUGUUGUUAGGGAAGAACAAGUGCUAGUUGAAUAAGCUGGCACCUUGACGGUACCUAACCAGAAAGCCACGGCUAACUACGUGCCAGCAGCCGCGGUAAUACGUAGGUGGCAAGCGUUAUCCGGAAUUAUUGGGCGUAAAGCGCGCGCAGGUGGUUUCUUAAGUCUGAUGUGAAAGCCCACGGCUCAACCGUGGAGGGUCAUUGGAAACUGGGAGACUUGAGUGCAGAAGAGGAAAGUGGAAUUCCAUGUGUAGCGGUGAAAUGCGUAGAGAUAUGGAGGAACACCAGUGGCGAAGGCGACUUUCUGGUCUGUAACUGACACUGAGGCGCGA